rnacentral:rRNA from 1 species
GACGAACGCUGGCGGCGUGCUUAACACAUGCAAGUCGAACGCUGAAGGCCUGGCUUUUGUUGGGUUGGAUGAGUGGCGAACGGGUGAGUAACACGUGAGUAACCUGCCCUCUUCUUUGGGAUAACGCCCGGAAACGGGUGCUAAUACUGGAUAUUCACUGAUCUUCGCAUGGGGGUUGGUGGAAAGGUUUGUUCUGGUGGGGGAUGGGCUCGCGGCCUAUCAGCUUGUUGGUGGGGUGAUGGCCUACCAAGGCUUUGACGGGUAGCCGACCGGGGAGGGUGACCGGGGACAUUGGGAAUGGGAUACGGCCCAGACGCAGACGGGAGGCAGCAGUGGGGAAGAAUGCACAAUGGGCGAAAGCCGGAUGCAGCGACGCCGCGUGAGGGAUGGAGGCCUGCGGGUUGUAAACCUCUUUCGCUCAGGGUCAAGCCGCAACUGUGGGUUGUGGUGAGGGUAGUGGGUAAAGAAGCGCCGGCUAACUACGUG